AUAGGCUAAAAAAUGCAGUGUGGUAACUGGGAGACGUGAAGUGACCAUAUGGUGAGAAUACUGUGAGAUUCAGCGUACAUACCACCGCAUGAGGCCUCACCUGACCUUUCUGAGCACUUACUUUCGUACAAGCUUGCUGGGUAAGAGUUUGCAUUUGACAUGUUCUAGGACUGGUGUUUGUAGUGCUGGGCCAUUAUGAGAUUAGUGAAGUGGAAGGGAGUAUAAAAAUAGCAUUAAGUAGAAGAAAGACAUGAUCACGUGGCCCCCUCUUUCCCUAGAUGUGCUCCCAUCACUCCUUAGAGUGAUUUAGUGAGGGGGGGUUGUAGCUGCUUCCUCCUUUUUUCUCAUUUCCCAGUGCUAAGUCAGUGAUGAUGCCAGAGUGUUUACAAUGGCUAAGUACUCUUGUGGAGUGAUAAUGCUGGGUACUAACGGGCUCUUUAAUUUAGCCAAGGAAGAUAACAUGAGAACUAGCAGCUAGAAAGAAAGGCCCAGCAACUCCCAGAUGUUGGACCAAAAUUGUCAGGAGGCACUUGUUGUUGUUGUUUGGCCUUUCAUAGCUGUUUUUCUAAUAGACUGUCAAAUACAACUGAAUAAGUUGUGCUAUAGCAUUGAACUAUCCAUGCGCCUGAAAUCUGGCUGGUUAUGUGGUUUCCUUAAAAGGUAAAGGGACCCCUGACCAUUAGGUCCAGUCGCGGACGACUCUGGGGUUGUGGUGCUUAUCUCGCCGGCGUACAGCAUACGGGUCACGUGGCCAGCAUGACUAAGCCGCUUCUGGUGAACUAGAGCAGCACACGGAAAUGCCGUUUAUUUUCCCGCUGGAGCAGUACCUAUUUAUCUACUUGCACUUUGACGUGCUUUUGAACUGCUAGGUUGGCAGGAGCAGGGACCGAACAAAGGGAGCUCACCCCAUCGUGGGGAUUCAAACCGCCGACCUUCCGAUCGGCAAGCCCUAGGCUCUGUGGUUUAACCCACAGCGCCACCUGCGUCCCACUGUGGUUUCCUUUGGAGCUAAUUAAAAACUCAAUUUCCUAGCAAGUUUUUGCCUUGUAUGUUUAUGAAGAAAACCCAUACACCCCCCCCCCCCCCCCCCCCCCGGUUUGGAAAUUCAAAAGAAGCUUUGUUUGGAAAGGGAGAGUUAGACCUUUUUUUUUAUGUUUUCCCAUCUUUAUUCUGGGAUCCUCCCAGUACCGAAACAUUACAACAAGGCCAGCAGAUCUUACAGCUCAGAUGUGAUGCACUCCCUAGCUACUGGUUGCAGAAGGCAACUGAAGGCUACAUGGUUUGAUUAAAAGGAUAGGGUUUGUGUGUUCUGUACCAUGAAAAUAAAUAAAAACAUUAUUUUAAAAGGAUAAGAUUUGUGAACCUCGUGAAGCACCCUCCACUGAUCCUCUCUCAUAAUUCAAGCACUAGGUUCCUUCUUCCUUGCCCCUUACCAUUCCAUCCUUCUCUGUGUUAAAUAAACACAACUCAUGUAUAUUUUCAUAACUUAUUGAGAACAUAGCAUUUGGGGCUUUGUGGUACGUACACAGUUUGGAUAUUGUUAUUAUUUGUGCAGAGACUGGUCUAUAACUCUACCUAAAGACAAGGACCAGUGGUCUUAAAUACAUAAUCCAACAUUCAUAUUUCAAAUGCAUUAGCUUCUUUCCCAUGUCUAAAAUUUCCAUUUCUGUUAAGUACCCAGUUCUACAUCACUGCCAUUCUUUGUAAAUGGUAUUCCCGUUAAUCCAAAUGUCUGAUUAUGUUUUGAAUGUCGCACAUGUCACUUGAAUAAAGUAGCUCAUUCUGUAUAGGAACUGUUCUGCACUAUUAGCUUGCAGCGCAAUGUCUGCUUUUGCUUUGCUUCAUAGUAAUGUGAAAAUGUGGAAAGGCUGAGAAAAAUGGGUAUGGUUACCUGAUGCCUUGUCUUUACACAGCAUAUGCCCUCUGUUCUAACAAGACAGGGCACUGAAAAGCAGAGCCAGCCAUGUUGUACAAUACACUUGUAAAAGCAGGUAUAGAACAGGGGUCAGCAAACUUUUUCAGCAGGGGGCCGGUCCACUGUCCCUCAGACCUUGUGGGGGGGCCGGACUAUAUUUUGAAAAAAUAUAUAGGAACGAAUUCCUAUGCCCCACCAAUAACCCAGAGAUGCAUUUAAAUAAAAGCACACAUUCUACUCAUGUAAAAACACCAGGCAGGCCCCACAAAUAACCCAGAGAUGGGUUUUAAAUAAAAGGACACAUUCUACUCAUGUAAAAACAUGCUUGAUUCCUGGACCGUCCGCGGGCCGGAUUGAGAAGGCGAUUGGGCCACAUCCGGCCCCCGCGCCUUAGUUUGCCUGCCCAUGGUAUAGUGAUAGAGUUGGAAGACACAUUGAGAGCCAUCUAGUCCAACCCCACUGCUGUGUAAGAAUCUUAACUUGCAAUCUCCCAUCCAAUAUUGAAACCACAUUAGACACUGCUUAGCUUUGCAAAUGCACUAGCAGUUCUACUGCUGCACUACUAAGGGGAAAACUGAUGCAAACACCACUCCUGACCCCCAUAUGGAAACUGGCACAAUAUCCAUUUCAUCAGCUCAUUGUACUUCCAUGUGGAACAUGCAGUUUAGUUCUUUGCUGGUAAGCCAUCUACAGUGCUGACCAGCUACCCACCGAUUCAAAGCCAAUGUGAAACAUGUAUAUUUGCACUGUUGUAGAUGUAUUCCGAUGGCUGGUCCACCACUGUGUACAUAUUUAUACACCCUUAUCACACUGCACAUUGUUUGUGCAGUGGUGGAAAAAGAUUUGGAGGAGGACAUCCUACAGACAGUGGAUAAUUAAUGAAGGCACAGAAAGCUUCCUAUCCACAUUAAAUGACAGUAUGAAUGGCCACAUAUUAUUCCUGAUCUUUGCUGGAGUAGUGUGUGGUUGUCACUUGUGGUUCAAAAGAAGCCGCUGCUGAAUUGCAUUUUCUAGUCUAUUUAAAUGUGCAUUGUCAUUUAAAAAAAACAAAGUGUUAUGUACUGAAGCCCACAACUUAACACAAAGCACCACCCAACACCUACUCUAGCCAGCCUUUGGCAAUCCAUGCUGAAAUUCAGCAUGAGUUUGGCCUUAUUAUUUUGUCUUCUUCUGGGCUCCCUGCUUUCAGAGAGCACUGCCUAUUGUGCACACAUGCACACACCUUUGCUACAGCGGUGUGUGCAUUUUUGCCUGGAGUGAGCCUUUCUUAUGAGACAAAUGGACUUUGACAUUUGUUAGCAAAAAUGUGUCAGCUGUAAAGAAUUACCCAAAGGUCUGUUUACACAGUAUGUGGCAGGUCCGGCAAAGAAAUAUGUAUUCUAUGAAAACACAGAAAGGGCUAAAAGAAGGUUUCCUAUCCAAGGGCUCCUAUACUGUUUAGAUCUCCUUUUCUAUCUCAGAUCUGCCCUGUCCUUGAACUUUCAGCCAAUAGCAUUAAUUAUAAUACAAGCUCUGAUAUGUCCACACAUCAGCUUUUUUCAAUGGGUGAUACGAAAACCCUCUUCAUAAAAGCUUGGAAAUCUAAUUCACACUGGAAGGAGCUGUAUGUUUUUCCCAGCAUGGAGGAAAUUGAACAGAAAGCCGUGUGCAGCAUAUACUCUUGGUUGUGAUAAUAGCUGAUUAUCUGGGGAUCCGGGGAAGUGGUGGUUUGCUGCACGGUGCAGCCGUGGCUCAGUGUCAGGGCCUUUGCCUCCUCAUGAGGCCAUUUGGUGGUGCUAGGGCCUCCCCUGGCAGCCACACAGUUUCGGCGCCAAAGCCCGUUCAGAUGGGCCAAUCGGAAGGCAACAAGGGCGCAGGGUCAUGGCAGCAGCCUGGCUUCAAACAGGUCCACUUAUUCAUAUUAUAUUCAGGCCACACCUGGACUCCUUCUAUACAGAUCAUCAUGAGACUACCCACCCUCCCGCGGUGUUUAUUUGUGUUCUGCCCAAAGGUACAGUCACAGUGUGAGGGCCAUAUUCGGGACCAGGGAGAAUUUUUUAAUGCGUUAAAUUGGAUCGUCACACUUGAUGUUUUUCUAGGGUCUACCCUCAAUCCAGGGGUGAUCCACACUAUUUGAUCAACCAGCAGGCGGGUUGCUUGAUAGUGGAUACAUACUCAAUGCCUUCAACAAAACCUACUUACAUCUGGAACCAAUAAAGUUGUGGCCUAUUGCAACCCAGCACCGAUAUCCAGUGUCUUAUUUCUGUCCAUGGUUGGCCUCCCCACUGCUGCACACUUUCUGUGCCUGGGCAUGUGGAAGGAUUUGCUCUAGGGUUUGAAAAUCAACUUUUCUGCUUUUCCAUACAUAUUUUAUGCAAUAUUAUAGCAUGCGAAAUCCACGUCCCAUUUGGUAAACUUAGGUAAUAAUGCCUACAGUGUAAGCACUCUUCAACGCUCACUCUGAAACAACAUACGAUUUUAGCUCUUAACAUGCCUUCAUUUUUCUAAAGAACAAAAUACUAAGUGCCCUGGUUGAGCUAAUGGUUCUGCAUGUCCUUGCACAUCCAUCCACAGCCUCUGCGCUUUCUGAUCUUGGUCUUAUAUCUCUAAUUGCAGUCUUCAGUGUAGCCAUUGAGAGAUGGGGGCAUACAGGGACGGGGUCUCUGCUUUAGCUGAACGUCUAGACUUCUCCCUCCAGACACAUUCUUUCAAAUUUCCUCCCACUCUGGAUUAGCCUGUGUUAUCAUUGGUACACUGGAGCCCUUUCAAGAUUAAUAAAAAACACAAUGUAAAAAGUGUAUUUUGUGUGCCUACGUGCCUGAGGGAAGCUUCACAUGUUACACUUGCAGAAAGAAUAUGUUUCAGUUCAGUAGAUGAGGUACACUGCAGGUAUAAUGAACAACAAGCCGGAGUUGUACAUUUAUUUUGCCAAGUGUAUUCUGCAGAAACAUAGCUCUUCUGUAGUGUCUUUUUAUGGUGUGUGUACAUUCAAAGAAUUGUGUUUGGCCACCACACGCAUUGCAGAGUGCAUGUACACACCAUGUAUAUAAACAUGCACUUGCUAAAACUGUGAAGCAGCCGCCCCCCUCCUUAAAAAAAACCACACCUCUUCAUGCCUCUUGAGUUGUCAAUAAACAGGUUAUCAAGAAACCAUGUUAAGCAAUACUACUAGCUAACAUCCUUUAACUAUAAGUCUGUGAGGCCCUGCCAUUUUCAGGACUAAAAGAACCUAUUAACAUCCUAGGCAGCAAGAUAAGGCUUGAGACUCUUCAAGUAUUUUAGGACUUGAUCUGUGCCAUUUGUUUAUUCCAUUACAGCACUGCCUCGGCACCCAUGCAACAUACAUCUCACCUGAGCUCUACAGAAAAUAUCACCAAGUCUUUCAUGUUGAAUAGAGCUAGUUUGAAGUAGAGUGAAACAUCAAUGAACCAUGCAUUAAAAAAUGAUGCAUGGAAAGACUCCAUCAGCUGCCAUUGCCCUUGAUACUUCCAUUACACUAUGUUUAUUGAUUCAUCUUGUUAAUAAGGUAAGAAGUGCGACCGUGCAAUUAAUGUUUAUGCAGCUUUACAAUCAUAUACAUUUCCCAAAGACUUCCAAGGAUUGGCAGAAUUUGGAUAGAACCUAACCUGUAGGUUCGGAAUAGCAAAGCACUAAGAUCUAGUGCAUAAGUCACUCAGGUUUUGUGGAAAGAGUGUUGAACUAGGACCUAGGAGACCAGGGUGCAAAUCUCCACUCAAACAAGAAGAUCACUUGGUGACUUUGGGCUUGUCACAGUCUCCCUCUAGUAGCAGGGUUGCUUUAAGGAUAAAAUGAGGAGGGGGAGAAGUGGGUAAGCCACCUGGAGCUCCUUGGAUAAAAGGUAGGAUAUUAAUAUAAUAGUAAAUAAAAAUAACAGUCUCCGGCAAGGAGCCUGCUGGUGCACAUGUAUCUGCAGAGGCCUUUCCUGGUGAAAAGCUGCAGAGUACCAUUCUUUUGCAGAAAAUAGGCUUGAAAGAAACCUUCUGUGUAGCGACGUGGAAGAAGUAAGUGGGUGUGAUUAUAGUGUGUGUGUGGUGCCCACAACAGUUUAUCUGGUUCGCAGAUGUGCCUCACAAAUCUGGGAUCACCUUGAAACCAGUGCCAAAGUUUUGCAGUCGUUUUGCAGCAAAAACCCUGUGUACUGCAGCACCCAUAAAACAGAGCAAUAGCCACUCAAACCCAGGGGCCAAAGGGUAACCCAAAACUCAAAAUUGUCCGAUUCACUCCAAACUGGUGCCAAACAUUGGCGACAGUUUUGCAGUGUUUUUCAGCGAAAACCUCACAUUUUGCACCCCUGUGCUCAAAACACUAAUCCAUGUCAUUGGGAAAAUGAAAAUCGCCUUUCACCUCAUUUCCUGUUAAUGCUUUUCAUGUGAUGUGUGGACAGUGGAUGUACAAAUAGAACGAGCACCUAUUGCAUGGUGCCUAUGGUGUCACCAGAACUGAGCAACACAAGUCCCCUCUUUUCCAUGGCCAUGGCUUCACAGAAAGUGUUUCUAGCUAAUAUUUUGUUUUAUUUAUUGCAAGGCCAUAUUGGUCACCUCUCCAAAAAAACAACAGCCAAUAGGAAUAGAACUUAAGAGCUUUUCAAUGGAAAGGAAAGGUGGUGACAGCAGGAAGGAAGUAUGUAUAUAAAUCCAAUUAAUAAAAUGCUUUCUGCUCUGGGAAGCAGGGUUGCCUGUUUUAUCAAUCUGUGGUUGGUCAUGAAACAACCGCAAUAUGCCAAAAUAAUUUAAAAUGCCAUCUCUUUGGAUGCUGACAUAUUUAUUCAUUGGUAUUUUGAUUUAUUUAUUGGAACUCCCUGUCUCUUGACAUUCAGUAGGCACCCUAACUGUUCUCUUUCUGGGACCUGCUUAAAAUGUUUUUGCUUAGGCGAGCCUAUCCAUAUAGGUAGUAGUUACAUGGGCUUGUUCUUGCAUUCACUUUAAUAUGAGUAGGACACCUCAUGUUUUUGGUUUUUUGGUGAGCUUUUGACCCUUGGGUUUGAUUGGCCAUUGCUCCGUUUCUUGGGCGCUGCAAAACACGGGAUUCUUCCUGCAAAACUUUUCCAAAGUUUGGUGCCGGUUUGGAGUGAAUCGGACAAUGAUGGGUUUUUGGUGAGCCUUUGAACCCCAGGUUUGAGUGGCUAUUGCUCCAUUUCUGGGGCACUGCAAAACAUGGGGUUUCCGCUGCAAAACACUGCAAAUUUUUUGCCAAAGUUUGGUGCCAGUUUGGAGUGAAUUGGACGACGUUGUGUUUUUGGCCAUUAACUACAAACUUGGUUUUGCUGUAUCAAUUACUCUGUUUGCGGGGCGCUGCAAAACACAGGGUUUUCGCUGCAAAACGACUGCAAAACUUUGGCACCGGUUUUGAGGAGAUCCCAGAUUUUGGGAUUCGUAGUUAAUGAAACCGCUGGAUGUUAUCCCACACCUUGAGGUGUAAGGAGAGAGAGUAGAUUUUGCAACCAGAUACUUGUUUGGUACAGAUCAUAGCUUAGAAACAAAAUCUGAAGUUUGUGCUUGCAGAAUCUUGACACUGGAAGAAUCAUAUGUAGCAUGCAGGAUUUGCCUUGCCUUGCUGCAAAGUUUACAGGGGCCACAAGUUUUUCCCAGCAAGAUUUUGAUAGAAAUCAGAUGAGAAGACAGUCCAGCUCCACUUGGAACAUGCUGUACAACUCACAGGGUGUAUACCAUUCCCUAGAGAAGACUUCCUAUACUCCCAGGAAGAAUGGCUUCCUUGGGAGUGUGUCUGCCUUCCGCUUGCAUGUCUCUGAGGGGGAGAAGCCCCAACCAGGGGGCAAAAGACUUUGGAGCUGGCUUUCUCUCCUCACAGCAGCAUCGGUCACUCUGUCCCACUUUUGCCAUGUUGACCAAAGCAAGCAUUUGCUUCAUUCUAGUGCUGGCAGGGAGCCUUGCAUUCCCCAGUCUGAAUCCCAACCAAGUCAGGGACGGCAAAUCUAGAAAUAGACAUUUUUGUUUGUAAAGAAAUAUGCGAAUCUCAAAAUAACCUCCCAAAACUGGAUGGAGAGACUGCGUUUGGAUUCAGGGACAUCACCCUUCCAAGUCCGCAGAACAAACGGGAUCAAUCCUACCCACCCUCCUUUCUCGACCCUGACACUGUCGCUCACAGCGACAAGUGAGAUUCCAGACAAUUCCUCACGUAGGGCUCACCCUGGGAAAGAUUCAUGUCUCCAGUUACGCAGGGCUCUGAGAACACGCCCUGCUGCUUUUGCCAACGGGGAAUCGAGAAAUGAGUGGAUUUGAACGCAGCAUGAUGCAUGGGUGGAAAAGGGCAAGGCACAUCUUGGCGUGUUGGGCUGACUGGGUGCAAAGCCAGAACAAUGUGGGUCAGAUAAACUCUCUGGGGCUGUGCUUAGCAUAAUCUCUGGUAUGCAGACGUCCAUCAUAAGGGGAAAGCAGCAGUGCGCUGAUCUCACAAAUGGCUUUUUCUGUCAUUAGAUUUCACAGGAC
rnacentral:lncRNA from 1 species